AUGCCAGGGUUCAGCCUCCCUCCCUCCGGCUCCAGUAAGCAGAAAAGAACAAAGUGUGAGGGGAACCAUAUCACAAACACGCAGUGUUUAAAAUGUGCACUGACAGCUGGACGCUCACCCAUACAUUGUUAUUCUCACCACAGCAGGACACGGCCGUGUACGCUCACCUUUUACUCACUCAGCCUCGAAUGUGACUGCCGUGAAUCUCACAGGUACAAGUCCGCCCUCACAAGAUGUAACGGGACCACGCAGGAAAGUGAACAGAAGCCCCAGAGCACACCGCACAGAGCGCGGGUGCGUCUGGACCUGUCAGAGCCUCAACACCGGGUGCUGGGAAGCAGAGGCUGGGAGAGCACCUGAGACCUGAGUGCCUUGCCCAGCUGGAGACAGUGAAGGAAGAGAGGAGGUGAGAAGCCCUGGGACAGGGAAGGCCUGGAGGGGGACGGGGGAGGAGGGAGGAGGAGGAAGCAUCGCCUGCUCUUCCGGCUCAGCUCACACAGAGCCCCAGGACCAGGGUCACCUCAGCCUGGUAAGCAGCUGCUUGGGGCGGGGCAGGGGGGGGGGGGGGGGGGGGGAGGGUGGCCGGUUCCCUUCCCUGUUUGUUGGCUUUUUAUUUGUGUUUGUCUGUCUGUUGUGCUCCAGGGGGAAUUGAACCGGGGGCCUCACACAUUCUAGGCAAGCACUGUACCACAUAGCUUUUGUAAAACUUGUGUUUUGAGAUCUGUUACUGCU
rnacentral:lncRNA from 1 species